UCUUCUCCUCCCCCCUCCAGCCCUCGGUCCCCCUCCUCUCUCGGCGAGACCCCGGCAACCCUGCGCUCGGGGCGCUCCUGUUGUGGGCGCUGCCGACACAGGGAUGAGCCAGGCGAGGCCCUUGCCCCCCUGGUUUCCCCGCGGAGGUGGCAAGCGGGUGAGAGAAGGAGGGAUGUGGAGGAAAAAAGCUGGGGCUCGAGGGAAGGUGAUGUUCCAGAUGCACAGGCCCGUGCAGUGAACGCGGGAAAACUGAAAGCAUUGGCAGGGAGAAGCUAGGGGUGUGGGGCAGGACCUCUGCACCUGUCAUGGCUUCAGAUCAGAAGAGUAGCUGCUUUCUACGGCCAUGUGCAUCUGUGACUGUUACACCCUGUGUGAUCCUGGGCAGACAUGUGAGGCAGCUGUCUUGCGUCUGACGCCCAGACUGUUACCCACAUUCAGCCUUCUCCACUGGCCCAGACCGAGAAGCGGAUCAGGGGCUUUGCAGAGAGAAAGCAGCCCAGAAGGACCCUGGGCAACCACCACUGACACAAUUGCCGUUGACUGCAGGACCUUUUGUAGAGAGGAAGACACUCGGCCGCUGAGAGAGGACGGCAGUUCAAGAGUGACAGAAGAGGAGGACAAACUCAGCCUCCGUCUCUUGCUCUUCAACCAAGUGCUGUCAGGAGACAGCUGGGGACACCACUCCCCCCCCCCCCCGCCCCCAAUGCCUCUGUCAACACGGAUCCCUCUCUUUCUCCAGGUUUGCAGUCCCUGCCCUAACCCCCAGGGUGGGAUUAGGUCAGUAUUUCCUGUGUCUUCUGUCAUACCAUUCCCAAUUAAAUGAGGUUUCCCAUUUCCAGGAGUCUCCACAACUACCUUCCUCCUGAGUCUUCUCUCAUGAUCUAGGGAGGGUUGGUCCAGGGACGCUCUUCCCAGGGAUACAAAAGCCAAUGGAUAGCCAGGCAAAGUGGCACACCCCAACACUUGGGAAGUGGCACAAGGGAACAGUGAGUUCUAGGCCAGCCUGGAGUACACACAGAGACCCUGUCUCAAAACAUGAGAAGACAAAUACAUAAAAUGACUCCAUAUUCACAUCUAACCUAAGUACAUCUUCUUGAACACUGGUCUAUCUAAGUCACCUGCAGCAUGUUUAGACUACCUAACCCAACGUGAAUGCUCUGUAGAUGCUCUGUUGUAUUGUUUAGGAACAACAACAAGGAGAAUAUCCGUAUGUGUUCAGUAAAUACCUGUUUUUAUAUAGUAUUUUGCUGUCCAUGGGUGAUUGAAUCUGAGGAUUGAAACUCAUGCAUAUGAAGCACCCACUGUAUUUUCCUUCAUCCUAAGCAAUAAUCUCCGUGAAAUCACAGGUUUGAUAUGUGGAUUGCAUUUCCAAAACACAUUAAAAUGACUGUGAGACUCUGA